rnacentral:rRNA from 1 species
UACGUAGGAGGCGAGCGUUGUCCGGAGUUACUGGGCGUAAAGGGUGCGCAGGCGGCGGUUCGCGUGGCGAGAUGAAAUCUCCUGGCUUACCUGGGAGGGUGGUCGCCAGACGGGAUCGCUUGAGGGUCGGAGAGGGGCGUGGAAUUCCGGGUGUAGUGGUGAAAUGCGUAGAGAUCCGGAGGAACCCCAGAGGCGAAGGCGGCGCCCUGGCUCGCACCUGACGCUCAGACACGACAGCAUGGGGAGCGAACGGG